AUUGAACGCUGGCGGCAGGCCUAACACAUGCAAGUCGAGCGGAUGAAGGGAGCUUGCUCCUGGAUUCAGCGGCGGACGGGUGAGUAAUGCCUAGGAAUCUGCCUUGUAGUGGGGGAUAACGUCCGGAAACGGGCGCUAAUACCGCAUACGUCCUGAGGGAGAAAGUGGGGGAUCUUCGGACCUCACGCUAUCAGAUGAGCCUAGGUCGGAUUAGCUAGUUGGUGGGGUAAAGGCCUACCAAGGCGACGAUCCGUAACUGGUCUGAGAGGAGGAUCAGUCACACUGGAACUGAGACACGGUCCAGACUCCUACGGGAGGCAGCAGUGGGGAAUAUUGGACAAUGGGCGAAAGCCUGAUCCAGCCAUGCCGCGUGUGUGAAGAAGGUCUUCGGAUUGUAAAGCACUUUAAGUUGGGAGGAAGGGCAGUAAGUUAAUACCUUGCUGUUUUGACGUUACCAACAGAAUAAGCACCGGCUAACUUCGUG
rnacentral:rRNA from 1 species